rnacentral:rRNA from 1 species
ACUCCUACGGGAGGCAGCAGUGGGGAAUAUUGCACAAUGGGGGAAACCCUGAUGCAGCCAUGCCGCGUGUGUGAAGAAGGCCUUGGGUUGUAAAGCACUUUCAGUAGGGAGGAAGGUAGUGUAGUUAACACCUGCAUUAUUUGACGUUACCUACAGAAGAAGCACCGGCUAACUCCGUGCCAGCAGCCGCGGUAAUACGGAGGGUGCGAGCGUUAAUCGGAAUUACUGGGCGUAAAGCGCAUGCAGGCGGCCUGUUAAGUCAGAUGUGAAAGCCCGGGGCUUAACCUCGGAAUUGCAUUUGAAACUGGCAGGCUAGAGUCUUGUAGAGGGGUUAGAAUUUCAGGUGUAGCGGUGAAAUGCGUAGAGAUCUGAAGGAAUACCAGUGGCGAAGGCGGCCCCUGGACAAAGACUGACGCUCAGAUGCGAAAGCGUGGGAGCAAACAGGAUUAGAUACCCCUGGUAGACUGUCA